CACUGUUUGAACUUUUAUUAUAUAAAAUACAACCACAUAAACAAAUAUGUAAUUUUUUAAUACAGACAAAAAAAUGAUGGAACAUCUAUAUAAUGUUACCAAGACAGCUGCUAGGAAUGAGAUAGAGCUACUUCCAUUAACAUGUAAGAAAACUAUGACCUAUUUUUUUAAGGCAAUUUGCAGAGUGGCAGGGAAUAUAAAUCAUUGUUGCAAAAAACAUCUAAAUAGUUCACAUAUGCAACGUAGUAACUAUAAGCCAUGCUACUUCUGCACAGAGGAUUAAGGAAGGACUUGUAGACACUUGUCUGAUUAUUUUAUGAGUUUGUGUUCACUUAUAAUCUUUAAAUUAAUCUUAUGUGAAUAUAUUCUUAUUAAAAAAUCAAAUAAUAUAUGUAUUGCUUUUAUGAUUUAAAAUACAUAUUACUGUGGUUUAGAGAAGAAAUUGUUUCUUAAAGGACAAUUCCUAUUUCUUUCUUCAGCCUCAAGAGUCAGAAAGCAAGACAAUUAGUAUUUUUAAAUAAGGAAAUGUAAACUAGUUUUCAGUAAAACAUAAUUUACAACAAUAAUGAUUAUGUAAUCAUGCCUCUAUUAAUACAGCAACCGUUUAAAAUAAUGCAAAUGCACAAUAACCAGGCUGUCUGUUUCCAAUUUCCUUGGACUGGAUGGCGAGAAUCCCACUUUCCUGGACUUUUCCACCCACAUUUAUGAUCCCUCGCAGCGUAUAACCACUACGUACCUCUCCAAACCCAACAAACUUUGCAGCCUGCGCAGACAAAGGUUUCUAUGUUUCUCUCUCCAUUUCUACUUGGCAAACCCCUGCCUGGGGCUGUACUCGGGAGUCACCUUCACUUCCUUGCUAAGUCAGGUGAAGCCUUACCUGACUUUCUCCAGGCUGGGGAAAGAACCCCCACACCCCUCACCCACUCCCCGGCUCCCAUUGCCUCUUCUUUCCUCUCCCUACCGUGCUGCCCACUUUGCGCGGUAAUUUUUGCUCCAAGGGCCUGCCUCCCAGAGGCUUGGGGUGCAGGGAAAGUGCUCUAAGGGUGGGACUGAUUUAGUCUGGACAUUCCUGACCGGUAGCACCACGCCCAUAAUGACCCGAAAAUAAAUGCCUGCGUAAAUUGCUUUGGGAAGCGGUUGGGCAAUUUAUUAAGAGUAGUGAAAAUGUCCCCUUCCUGCUGAAACAGUAAGAAUCUUGAAGAAAUAAUCCUCCCCAAAGGAGAAAACUAUAUACACGAAGAUUUUAGGUUGUGUAUUAUUUUCAUACAGAAAAACUGGACACGGAAGAAUAUCAAGUAAUUGAACGGUUAAGUAAAUUACACAGUAACAUAAUAGAGCAUUACUCGGCCAUUGAAAAGUAUACUUAUGAGGAUCAUAGCACAUAGCAAAUACUGAAGUGUGGCCUCAAGUAGAAAAGACUGAAUACAAAACUACAUGUUCACCAGGACUAACAUUAUGCAAAAUAAAGAUGCACAUUUAAAAAAAAAAAAAAAAAAGACUGAGUCUUUUAGGGGUAGCACGGGGAUAUUUUUCCUGCUUUCAAUUCUAUUAUUGCUGUUCUAGCCAUGCGAACAGUGCACAGAGGUUGGAAGUGGCGUCAAGAGGAGUCUUACCAUUGUGUAUAUGACUGUAAAACUGAGAAAAAGAAGGUAAUAUCAGCCUGGGGAAUGCAUUUCUAAUGGCGGGACUUCCUGCACCUUGACCUGCCAGUCGGGGUUGUGGCCCGGCAGUGGCAUUCCCAGGGGGUCUCAGAACAAAACGACGGCCACAGAGUCCACCUGGACAAAAGGGCAGGGAAGGGGCCCCUCGCCCUUGACCCUUGGGCUCUGCUCCGGCCACCCUGAGCCGAAGGCUGUUUGGGUGAAUGCGUGGGGUUUCUCCGGCGAUCGAUCCCUUUGGACUGGCUUCCCCACUAGCAACCUGCGCGUCCCCACCAGAACCAGCCGGCUGGCCGAGCGAAAGCCCGGUUUCGGGAGACCUUGCGGGGAGAGCAGCUGGCCCUCGCCCACCGGGCCGCGCUUUGUCUAGGGCGCGAGUCCGCCCGUUUCCGGCCCCGCCCCUCGCCCUGGUCCCAGUCCGCCCCUCCCCCUACCCGGCUUCCGCGUCUCCGCUCCCGCGCUGCCGGCUUCCGCGGCUUCCCCCACUUCUCAGCCUGCUUCUCUCUCCCCUCUCCUUCCUUUCCUGUCCUUUCACACUCGCGCCCCAGCCCCCGUCACCAUCUACCCCAAGGACUUGCAAACUUCGCCCCUGAGGAGCGGACUCUUCGGUUCUCCGUGGAAAAUCAACCAGACCCAAAACAGAGGUCCCGGGUUUGGGGAUACCACGCCGCGCGCCUGAGCAUCCGGGCUCCAUUUCUCCAGGCGACAUCUGCGGGAAGGGAGACCUAAAGGCCAAGGCUGGGGACGAGAGAUCAUCCACCAAGGCCGGGGUUUCCGAGUGAGGCGCCCACUUCGCAUCCCACAGUACCGCCAGAAACCCAUCGGACCCACAAAGAUCAAAAUCUUCGGUAACACACCAAACUGGCGACGCUGUGGGGAAGCAAGCACUCUCCCAAGUGGCUGGCGCGCAGUGAGGGCGCAGGAAAGGUAAGCAGGAGACCCGCCGCUAGGAGCCAGAGCCAGGCCGGCGAGGCGGGCAGGCAGGAAGAACCGCGGACAGGGCGACUUGAUCUCAUUUUUAAAACCGGAGAGUGAGAUGGGACGAGAGCUUGAGCUUCUAGGGAUGGGGCUGAGAUUCUGGAGAGACACCUGGUAGUCAUUUCUUAAUCUUUUGUGCUGCUUAGAAUUUUUUCUUAGAUGCAUGUUUUCCUUUUAAAAGAAAAAGAAAAAAAAGAAAAGGCAGAGCGGGGUGGCUCACACCUGUAAUCCCAACAGUUUAGGAGACCAAGGAGGGAGAAGCCCUAGCGGCCAGGAGUUCCAGAUCAGCCUGGGCAACAUAACGAGACCCUCGUCUCUGCAAAAAAAUAAAAAAUAAAAAAUUAGGCGAGUGUGGUGGUGCCUGCCUGUUGUCCUAGCUACUCAGGAGGUUGAGGCAGGAGGAUAGCUUGUGCUUAGGAGUAGAAGGUUGUAGUGAGCCGUGAUCGUGUCACUGCAACCAGCAUGGGCGACAGAGUGAGACCUUGUCUCUUAAAAAAAAAAUAG
rnacentral:lncRNA from 10 species